AUCUGCCUCGCCGAAGUACUCGCCAUCGCCUAAAAGAGCAAUCCGUAAGUCCUCGCCGUGAGGACCCUUGCUGAUGACUUCAGCCUGUCCGCUGGCUACGAUGAAGAAACGCUGCUUGUCCUUGCCCUCUUCUACGAAGAGUUUAUCGACGUCGACCUCCUUGGCCUCGAAUGAGCUAACCAGACGGUUCAGUAUCUCGUCGUCGAACUCAGAGAAGAGGGGAAUUGCCUUGAGGUUCUUAGCCGUAAACGACGGUACGCCGUUCACAUACUGGAUAGGCAGUCGGUCGUUCUUACGAAGUUCAACCUUCGUGCGGUUCACGCGGAACGUACCGCCGCUGACUUGUACCCAGGGCAACAACUUCAGAAGUAAUCUCGGAGUGAUUGAGCCCAUCUGUGGGGCGGUCUUGGUGGUGGUUGCCAGUCUUCUGGCGGUAGCAGUAGUCACA
rnacentral:antisense_RNA from 1 species